ACUAUUAUAAUAUUAUACUUAAAGAAAUAGGUUAUUUUCCUUGUAAUUGGCCGUUCUGCAAAAGUGCAAACAUAUCAUUUAGUUGAAUAGAACAAGAUAAUUAAUAUUACGUAAAUCGUAUUUGAUAUUUAUAAUAUAUAUUAUGAUAACAAAAACACAACGAACUAUUUCACAAUUUUAAUAUAAUGAUUUCAGUGACUUAUAAUAUUGAUGUUUUAUUUUUACCAUACAUCUGCAGUAGUAGGUACAUAAUAAAAUAAUAUCUCAAGGAAAAUGUCAACUCAUCGGACAUUCUGGUUAUUGUGUGGACAAAUUGUUUUUUAUACUGUAAUACUGAAUUAUUGUUCGAAACCGAACACCACCAUAAAUAAUCGCAAGUGUCGCUUCGGAUAUGAACAAAUUUUCUUGCAUUUAUUACAGUUUCAAGUCUCAUUAGCAAAAUGUAAGUGUAUAUUUAUGUACAAGUGGGUGCACUCAAAUGACUUCGAACCCUCUCUCAGACCACCGUGGAGAAAUAUCGUAAUUCAGACAAUGAGUUAGCUACAAUUAAAUUAUUGUGUUUGGACGUUUUAUAACAAUUUGAAUUGAGCCAAUCAAUACGCAAAUAAAAUAUAGUAUGAUCACCACCCGAUCACAUUUUAUUAUCACUACUAUGCAAUAAUCGUUUCACACUACCAAGUAUACCUACGCAUGUACGUUUAUGUUUAGUGAAAAGUGAAAUAUGCUAAUUAUUUCAGACUGGUAUAUUUUAUAAAGAAUCUGAUUUGCAUUUUUAGUCUAAUUGUUUUUUUAUACAUUGUAUACCUACCCGAUAAAUGAUUUUGAAAUAUCAUUAUAAAUAUAUUAUUAUUAAUGUUAUUGUGGUUAAUUUCAAUAGCUAUUAUUAUAAUUACCUAUUUACCAUUCUUAUUACUGUA